rnacentral:lncRNA from 1 species
GAGGCCUCCUUCUCAGUUUUGUUCGAUAUAUGUAUUCUAACCGGAAGAGAGGGUUUGAUGCUUCAAGAAUUGGGAUAAAUUGAUAUGUGAUGAUGGAAGGUGUAGGGGAGACUAGGAAGCUGAUUUGACUUUCUCUAUUUUAGUUUAAAAGCAAGGAAAAUAGGUGAGGAGAAGGAAGGGAAUGAAGAUGAAGACAGUGAGAUGGUAAUAACUGAUGGAGGUUGUGGUUGUUCUGUGGGAUUUGCAGGUGCUUCUGUGAGCCUUGCCGGAAAUAGAGAAAUUAUUAACAGUGGCUUGAUUGGGAAGGGUCAUGCGUGAGUGAUUUUUCUCUGUUUUUUUGCUUUGUUCUGUGUUUUUUGUGUUAUGGAGGAGGAGAUGGAGGAAAUUGAACCGUGUAUGUGAUAGAUGAAAAACAGGUUUUCGGUCCCUGCUUUUUUUAAUUCAAUCUCUGAAGAUCAAGGUAAGGGAGUUGAUGAAGAUGAGUUUGAAUGAGUGAUAUCCUCGGGGUGGUUACGGGUAUGUGUGAGAGAGAAGCCAGUGAAUAUUGAUUUGGUAGCGGUGAGUGAAUAUAUCCAUUUAGGAUAUUGUGGGAGGUGAAUGAUAGAGGAUGAGGUGCCCUGUGAGUGAUGGAGAGGAAAAGAGAGUAUGCGUGAUCAAUGGUGUGUGUGUGUUGUAUCGAUUAUGGGUGAUGAGGUGUGGGUGAAGUUUGUUGGAGGUGGUUGGGGAAAGGUUGGGUUGAGGCCUCCCAGUGAGUAAACUGUAUUGAUUUUUUUUUAAUUUGGUUUGGUGAUUCAAUAAUGAUUAUCAUGCAUUUUUUGGUCCCCUUUGAUGAUGCCUGCUAUGUCACGUUUGUUAGGGUGAUUCUCAGUAAAACAAAUGAGCAAAGCUACCCAAGGUCAAAUACCAGCUUUGAAUUUUUUCAUCCAUACACAUGCUCUGACCCCUUUUUUCAUUCUUUGUUGUCUUUGUUUAUCUUUUCUGGAAUAUGUUUUUGGGUAAGGUAGAGGUUUUUCAUACUCUUUUUCUUUGAACUUCUCAGCUUCUUCUUUCUUUUUCUCACUCUACAGAUUUUUUUCUUCCUCCUCUUCCUUUUGAUUCUUUUCCUUCAUAAUUCUCUGGAAGAUUUCUUCGGAUUCUGUACUUCUCUGAAUAGGGUUGAAAUGGAGUAUUUGUGGGGCCUGUGAAGUUUCUAUAUAUGUCUGUGAUAACUUAGCUUGUCUUCUUGUCACUUCCUCCAACUAUUGUGUAAUCACAUUAUUUUGAAGCAUUGAAAUCUCCUGAAUAGUAUCCACCUGCGUGUCAUGUGCUUCUUCGUUGUCAGCCAUAAGUUCUAUCAAAUUAUAGGCUUCAUCUUCAGUCUUCCUCUUAAUACUUCCUCCAGCUGAAGCGUCUAACACCAUUUUCGACUGAUGGCACAUGCCUCCCAAGAAAGCGAGCAAAUAUGAAGUCUUAUAAAACCCAUGAACUGGGGUCUUUCUUAACAAGCCCUUAAACCUAUUCCACGCCCUUCCAAAAGUUUCUUCUCUUCCCUGUUUGAAUGAAGAAAUCUCCAGCCUCC